UACGGAGGGUGCAAGCGUUAUCCGGAUUCACUGGGUUUAAAGGGUGCGUAGGCGGUCGGGUAAGUCUGAUGUGAAAUCUCACAGCUUAACUGUGAAAAUGCAUUGGAUACUAUCCGGCUCGAGGAAUGGAGGGGAGACUGGAAUACUUGGUGUAGCAGUGAAAUGCGUAGAUAUCAAGUGGAACACCAGUGGCGAAGGCGAGUCUCUGGACAUUUCCUGACGCUGAGGCACGAAAGCCAGGGGAGCAAACGGG
rnacentral:rRNA from 1 species